rnacentral:rRNA from 1 species
AGUAACGCGUAAAUAAUCUACCCCUGCAUUUGGGAUAACCCACCGAAAGGUGAGCUAAUACCGGAUACGUUCUUUAGAUUGCGAGAUUUAGAGAAGAAAGGUGGCCUCUGAUAUAAGCUACUGUGCGGGGAGGAGUUUGCGUACCAUUAGCUAGUUGGUAGGGUAAUGGCCUACCAAGGCGACGAUGGUUAGCGGGUCUGAGAGGAUGAUCCGCCACACUGGAACUGGAACACGGACCAG